GAUUCUUAACCGCAAGAGGACCAGUGAAGUCCCUCUGCCGUCUUUUCUAAUCCGGAUUCCACAACAGUGUUACAUCAAAGUGCAUACAGGAGAGUUAUUCCAUGAAGCCAGAUUCUACAUGUAGAAACUGUGAGUCAGCGUAGCGGAUACAACUCUGCAAAACUUUACAAAAGAAAAGCACUGAGUGCCAGCUUACAAGCCGGUGGUAUUUAAAAGGCAACAGUUCAAAAUGCAGACACUGAUUUAUCAAUAGGGCUCAGAGAGGCCAGAUACCACUCAUCUCUUUGCUGCCUGAGGAAAUAACAAAGUCAGUGAUUUUUUUUUCCCCCUCUUCCUUUCCAGUGCUAUCUGGGAACUAUAGAUUGAAAGUUACUGAUACACUCAAUUAAACAGAUAGUAUCAUGCAGUUACUAAAUUCGGGUUUCUUUAUAGGAGUCCUUCGCAGACACAUGCAGGGGCAAUUACAUGCAAUUUGAUGUCAUAAUAUAAGCCAGGACAAGUUGAAAGAAGCCAGUGGUUCUUUGUGUCUCUAAACUAAUAUC
rnacentral:lncRNA from 1 species